rnacentral:tRNA from 1 species
GCCUGGGUGGCUCAGUCGGUUGAGCAUCUGACUUCAGCUCAGGUCACGGUCACAUGGCUCCUGGGUUCAAGCCCUGCGUUGGGCA